ACACUUCGUGAUCAGAUGAUAAGUUGCACAUCACACUGGUGUCCAGAAAAAAAAAAUGGUUGCGCAUCGCACUCGUAUAACCAGAUACUCCUAAACGAUCAUCUAUAUCUAUCAAAGUGUCACUAUCCAUGCGGCCAAUAAAACCUAUUCCUUUCAGGAUGAAGCCUGCAGGCAGAACCCAGUUACCCACGGGAUAGAACACGGCUUGAGGUUUUAAAAACAUAUAAACUGCCCCCUAUACUGAAAAGAAGAGCGAGAAGCAAGCAAUUCAUCACUAAUUUACUGAUCGGAAGAAGCGCCAGAUGUAAGAAGUGAAGCGGUUUUCGGAGGGAGGUACCUUGUGGAUGAGCCCGUCGUCGAUGAUGGAGCAGCUGAUCUUCUUGUAGAGCUCGAACAGCGCCUCCACCUCGUUCACCGAAACUUCGUUCAAUUUCAAAAGGAAAAGAUGUCUCCCUAAACUCUAGCUUGAUCGUGAAAGAAAGAGAGAAUUCAGAGAGGAAGAACACGCAGAGACACUGAAGUUUUUUGUGCUGCGCUCAACACCUGCAGCUUUUCUGUUUUUUGCUCUUCUUAUUCAUCAAAAGUACACCAACGUGCCCGAGCAACGUGCUCCACUACUGACCACGUCCAUCCCCAUGAUCCGAGCUUCGUGCUGGGCCUACUACGACUGAGCCAAGGCGCACAAAACGCAACCAAUUGGCGAGGAAAAAAUGCUAACAGAAAAAACGACUAGCUACUGUCGAAACUGAAUGUGUCUAGCGACACUUAUCUGAUGAGAACAGACUAAGUUCAGAGAAUGCAGAGGGAGACAGGGUUUAAGCCAACAAUCUCCCCCUCAACCCUGGCGAACGAGCUUGACGUCGACGAUCCCAGUCUUGCCAAGCAGCUCCUGGAAGCGAACACGGCUCAACGGCUUCGUCAGUAUGUCUGCUUUCUAAUCCCUCGUACCGAUGAACUCCACGGCCACCCAUCUCUUCUCAACAUAAUCACGAAUGAAAUGAUAUCGAAGGUCGAUGUGCUUACUGCGAUCAUGGAGAACUGGGUUCUUGCAGAGGGAGAUCGCAGAUUUGUUGUCAAUGAACAGAGAGAAGGGCGCCGCUGGUUGAUUCAUCAGCUCGCCGAAGAGACGUGCAAGCCAAAUGCCUUGGCAAGCUGCCGUCGCCGCCGCGAUGUACUCCGCCUCGCAAGAUGAGAUUGCGACGACCUUUUGCUUCUGAGAUUGCCAGCUGACGGGGCUUUCACCAAGAAAGAACAGCACGCCAGAAGUGCUCUUCCUGGUGUCCACGUCGCCGGCGUGAUCGGAGUCGCUGAAGCCUGUCAGGGACUCGCCGUCGCCGUAGCGGUACAUGCAGCCGUAGCUCAGCGUGCCCGCUAUGUAUCGAAGGAGGUGCUUCACUGCUGCAUAGUGGUCUGCUGCUGGCGCCUCCAUGAACCUGCUCAGGAAACCUACGGCGAACGAAAUGUCCGGGCGAGUGUGUACGAGGUACCUCAGGCUGCCGAUCACGCUGCGGUAGAGCGUUGCAUCCACCGCAGCUUCCUUGCUUUCCUUUCUCAACGGGCACCGUGGCUCCAUAGGAGUGCGAGUCGGAUAGCACCCUGUCAGCCCAGUUUUGUCGAGCAGCUUGGAGGCAUACGCUGCCUGUGUGAUCGUGGUGCGUCCACGCUCCUGCUUCACUUCCAAGCCGAGGUAGUAGCGAAGCAGUCCCAAGUCGCUCAUGGAGAAGAGUUGUUUCAUCUCCUCUUUGAACCCGAGGACCUCCUGUUCCUUUGCGCCGGUGAUCACCAGAUCGUCGACGUACACCCCAACGAUGAGCAGGCUCUCGCCAGUUCCGCGCGCGUACAUGCCGUACUCUGCGACGCUGCGCGUGAACCCGAGAGAUGUGAGACUAGCAUCCAGCUUGUCGUUCCACGCUCUUGGAGCUUGACACAGACCAUAUAGAGCUUUGUGCAGCCUGUACACAGCCUGCUCACGCCCCCUCCGCGACGAAUCCAGAUGGCUGGGACACAUAGACCACUUCCUUGAGGUCGCCGUUCAAGAACGCCGAUUUGACGUCCAUAUGGUGCACUUGCCAGCCACGGUGCGCCGCCGGCGUCAGGAUGAGCCGCACGGACUCCAGUCUAGUCACCGGCGCGAACACCUCCUCGAAGUCCACGCCAAGGCGCUGCACGUGGCCUUUAGCAACGAGGCGGGCUUUGUGCUUGAUGACGUUCCCUUCCUCAUCCUUCUUCAGCUUGUACACCCAUUUGAGACCGAUCGCUUGAUGACCUGCAGGGAGCGUGGUGAGCGUCCAGGUGUUGUUGUCGUCGAUGAACUGCAGCUCGUCGAGCAUCGCCCGGCGCCAACAGUCCUCGUGCUCGGCUUCGGCGAAUGAUGUCGGUUCCUCCCCCGUCACAAGGUGCAGCUCCUCAUCAUCACCACUGUCCUCCGAUGGCGGGGGCUCUCAGCACCUCCUGGUACUUCAGAGGUUGAGCCGAGCAGCUCCUUGACCAGGCGAUAUCGAUGUGGUGCAGAGACCUUGUCCGCGUUGUCGAACAAGUCCGGCUGUACCGCCGAUGGUGACACGAAGGGCACCGGCGUAGUCUCUGGCGUGACUGCAUCUGCUCCUCCCCCAUGCGUGGGCGGCGACGUGGCCGCGGGUGUGCCGGGGACGAUGCUGCCUGCAGCAGACGAGGCACGAGAUGAACUUGCAGAGGUAGGUGACGACGCUGCUUUUUCUGCUGCAGCGGCCUUGGUGACGCCGGUUCUUGCGGCAUACGCAGGGUACUCGACGGUAAAGGAGCUGCUCACCGGCGACUCCCCCGGCGCCUCCCAGUUCCAGCGCGCCUCCUCGUCGAAUACCACGUCUCUGGACACGUGCAGGCGCUUGGUCACUGGAUCGUACAUGCGGUACGCCUUGGACCCGAUCUCAUAGCCGAUGAAGACCAUCGGCAUGCUCCUGUCGUCCAGCUUGCGCAGAUGUGGUCCAGCUGCCUUGACAUGGCCAACGCACCCAAAGAUGCGCAGGAACCUCACAUCAGACUUCCUGCCGUACCACGCCUCGUACAGUGUCAUGCCAUCGACGGAGCGCGUGAAGCUGCGGUUGAGGAUGAAGGCAGCGGUGAGCACGGCCUCCCCCAAAACAGGCUGGGCACCUGCUUCGCCUUGAGCAUGCUCCUUGCCAUGCCCAGGAGCGUCUGGUUACGCCGUUCGACGACGCCGUUCUGCUGCGGCGUGUACGGCGCAGUCAGGUGCCGCUGCACGCUCUCCUCGCAGUGUUUGUAGAAUGUGGCCGAGGUGAACUCUCCGCCACGAUCGGUGCGGAGCACGCGAAGCUUGUGCCCGCACUCCACCUCGGCUGCGGCCUGGAACUUGAUGAUGGCGCGCGCGGCUUCAUCCUUCGUCUUGAGCAGCUCCACCCACAUGAAGCGACUGCGAUCGUCGAUCAGCACGAGCACGUAACGCCGCCCCCCACGUGUUGGUGGAGAGACGGGGCCGCACAGGUCACCAUGCACAAGCUCCAGCGGUGUCGUCGCCCUGUACUUGGCCUUUUGCCGGAAUGGAAUGCGCCGCUGUUUCCCUGCGAGACGGGCCUCACACAGCUCCUCGGCGUGAGCAAUGUGAGGGAGCCCGCGCACUAGCUCUUUCUUGGCCAUCUUCUCCAGGCCGUCGAAGUGCAGGUGGCCGAGCCUCGCGUGCCAGCGCCAGGCAUCAGAGACCGCCCCCACAGCAAGGCACACUGGAUGCACAGGCGUGAAGACGAGUUUGUACAGGCGAUUGGUGGAGCGCGAUACCUUGACGAGGAGCUGCCCGCGAUCGUCACGGAUGGUGAGUACGCCACGACGGAUGUGCACAUCGUACCAGCUCUCAUCGAGCUGUCCCAGGCUGACCACGCUGUUCUUCAGUGCAGGUAUGUAGUACACCUGAGUGAAAGCGUUGUGAUCACCAGUCUCGGCGGCGAACACCACCGUCCCACGGCCACAGAUCUUCACCUCUGAUCCGUCAGCGAAGCGCACCGUGCCAGACACUGACCUGUCCAGCUCCGCGAAGGACUCCAGGGAGCCUGUCAUGUGAUUCGUGGCUCCAGUGUCGAGGAACCACAACUGCCGCCCCUGAUCGCCGUCGAGGGAGGGCGUGAUGAUGGCCUUCUCUUCGUUCAGAAAGACUUGGCCGCCGUUGUGCACCGCAGAGUUGCACGACGCGGUCACCAGUGUUGAUGCAGGGGUGGCCACGUGCACUUCCUUGACACACGCCAUCAUGAGGCCAGGACCGCCGUCCUCCUCUGCCUCGGCGAGGUUUGCGGCCGCCGCCGGCGGUGCUGCACCUGCCUUGGCAGCCUCGUCGCGCUUCUUCUUGCGGCAGUCUUUAGCCCAGUGGCCUUUCUUGCGGCAGUAACGGCACUGGUCCUUGUCCACGCCUUGAGCCGAGCCAGGUGAAGUCGAGGUAGGAGGCGGCUGGCAACUCCUCUUGCCGCGGUCGUCGUUCUUGACGCCAGAACCGCCGCCACGGGGCUGGCGCUUGCGUGCUUCCCACUGUUCCUCUGUGAGGAGCAGCUGCCCGCCUGCGGAGCCGCUGCCCUGGUCACCAUCCAUGCGCUCGAUCGCGCGCAGAUGGCCCGUGACCUCCUCGACAGUCAACGAUGCAGGGUUGAGGAGGGUUUACAUCGAGAAAGCGAUCUGCGCAAAACGCAAAGGAACUACUGAAAGGAAUUUUCUCACUAUUUUUUCUUCGUCGACGGCGUCCCCUAGUGAACGCAGUGCAGCGGCGAGGUUGGAGAUGCGGAUGGCAAAAUCCUGGAUCUUCUCGCCGUCCGUGAACGCCACGGUCUCGAACUCAGUUCGGAGACGCCGCAGUCGUCCGUCGCGCACACGAUCAGGUCCUUGGUACUGGACCCGGAUCGCCUCCCACGCCGCUUUGGCCGAUCCCUUCCCGAUCAACAUGCAGUGCAUGUCGGCCGGCGUCGAUCGGAGCAGCGCCGCCAGGGUCUUCUUGUCGUCGACGCGAGGGACGGUAUCGUCCUCGAUCGCGUCCCAGAGCGACGCAGCCUGGAGGUUUACCUCCAUGACCAUCGCCCAGUGCGUGUACCCGCCACGCGUCAGCAUCGGGAACUGCAGAUUUGCGCCGGAGCCACUGCUGGACUCGCGCACGACCUGCUGCACGACCACCUCGCCGCCACCACGUCGAACUCUACUCCUGCCGCGGGUGGGCGAGCGCCGUCGCUGCUUCGCGGGCGGAGGAGUUCGUGACUGGUGCGGCGUGCCGCUCUGCGACAUGGCCACAGGAUCUCACCGCUCUGAUGCCAAUUGUCUCCCUAAACUCUAGCUUGAUCGUGAAAGAAAGAGAGAAUUCAGAGAGGAAGAACACGCAGAGACACUGAAGUUUUUUGUGCUGCGCUCAACACCUGCAGCUUUUCUGUUUUUUGCUCUUCUUAUUCAUCAAAAGUACACCAACGUGCCCGAGCAACGUGCUCCACUACUGACCACGUCCAUCCCCAUGAUCCGAGCUUCGUGCUGGGCCUACUACGACUGAGCCAAGGCGCACAAAACGCAACCAAUUGGCGAGGAAAAAAUGCUAACAGAAAAAACGACUAGCUACUGUCGAAACUGAAUGUGUCUAGCGACACUUAUCUGAUGAAAACAGACUAAGUUCAGAGAAUGCAGAGGGAGACAGGGUUUAAGCCAACAAAAGAGAGAGAGAGGGAGGGAGAACUGGAUCAAAUGACAUUGCAAAGAACGGCAGGUAAGAGCUAAGAACCCGGAAGGGGGAAGAGGGAUUUAAGUACAGCAACGGGACUCCUCGGCGAGGCGGGCAAGGUUGUGGAAGUCGAGGGAGAUGCAGCCUGGCCCGACGCGGCGGCGGAACAGGUGGUGGCUCUUCUUCUUGGCCGUGAGGAAGGACGAAGCAGAGGAUUCUCUGCGCAGGCGCGAGGAGGAGGACGAAGGAGGGCAGAUGUCGGCGAGGCAGUCGGUGAGGACGAAGAAGACGGCCUCGGCGACAGCAACGAAUGGCAAGAAGGCGGCG
rnacentral:lncRNA from 1 species